rnacentral:rRNA from 1 species
UACGUAGGGUGCAAGCGUUGUCCGGAAUUAUUGGGCGUAAAGAGUUCGUAGGCGGUUUGUCGCGUCCGUUGUGAAAGCUUGGGGCUCAACCCCAAGUCUGCAGUGGAUACGGGCAGACUAGAGUCAGGUAGGGGAGAACGGAAUUCCUGGUGUAGCGGUGAAAUGCGUAGAUAUUCGGAGGAACACCAGUGGCGAAGGCGGCUCGCUGGCUCGAUACUGACGCUGAGGUGCGAAAGCGUGGGGAGCAAACAGG